rnacentral:misc_RNA from 1 species
GAUGAAGAACGUAGUGAAAUGCGAUAAGUAGUGUGAAUUGCAGAAUUCCGUGAAUCAUCGAAUCUUUGAACGCACAUUGCGCCUUCUGGUAUUCCGGAAGGCAUGCCUGUUCGAGAGUCAUUAACAACCGUUUCGACCCCUUUCUUUCAGAAAUUACAAAGAGGAAAAGGGUUUGGUUAUGGUGGAGGAGGGAAAGGGAGCGUUUAGCCUGUAAAAAAAGAGGCUGUGUUCCGCCUCCCCCCCAAAAUUGUACAGGCGGUCGUGUGGGCCCACGCAUCGAGGUGUUGUAAAAGCUGCCACGGCACUUUUCACCUGUGCAGUGCGAGAUUGGCCAGCCGGUUUAAAAACCCCUCCAAACAAUCAAAGGUUGACCUCGGAUCAGGUAGGGAUACCCGCUGAACUUAAGCAUAUCAAUAAGCGGAGGA